GAGGACUGCGGCUGCUAUAAUGCAGUCGAGCGGACCGACUGGAGCUUGCUCCCUUAGGUCAGCGGCGGACGGGUGAGUAACACGUGGGUAACCUGCCUGUAAGACUGGGAUAACUCCGGGAAACCGGGGCUAAUACCGGAUGCUUGAUUGAACCGCAUGGUUCAAUUCUUAAAAGGGGCUUUUUUGGUCCCCUUUCGCAUGGGCCCCCGGCGCAUUUGCUAAUUUGGGAGGGAACGGGUCACCCAAGGGAAAAAGCGUAACCCAACUGAGAGGGGGAACCGGCCCACUGGGACUGAAACACCGCCCCAAAUCCCACCGGGGGGGACACUAGGGAAACUUUCCCAAUGGGGGAAAAUCCGAACGAGCAACACCCCGUGAGUGAUAAAAGUUUUUCGAUCUUUAAACUCUGUUUUUAGGGAAAAAAAAGUACCCUUUUAAUAAGGGGGGACCUUGACGGUUCCUAACCCCAAAACCCCGGCUAAAUACCUGGCAACAACCCCGGUAAUACGUUUGUGGGGAGCGUUGUCCCGAAUUAUUGGGCGUAAAGGGCGCGCAAGCGGUUUCUUAAAUCUCGAUGUGAUAACCCCGGCUCACCCGGGGAAGGUAUUGGACACUGGGGAACUGGAGUGCUGAAAAA
rnacentral:rRNA from 1 species